AGUAACGCGUGGGUAACCUGCCUCAUACAGGGGGAUAACAGUUAGAAAUGACUGCUAAUACCGCAUAAGCGCACGGUGUCGCAUGACACAGUGUGAAAAACUCCGGUGGUAUGAGAUGGACCCGCGUCUGAUUAGCUAGUUGGCGAGGUAACGGCCCACCAAGGCGACGAUCAGUAGCCGACCUGAGAGGGUGAUCGGCCACAUUGGGACUGAGACACGGCCCAA
rnacentral:rRNA from 1 species